AUGCUUCCUGACCCAGCAAUCUCAUUACUGGGUGUACACCCAGAGGUAUAUAAAUCAUCCCAUCCUAAAGACACGUGCGCAUGUGUGUUCACUGCAGCACUAUUCAUAGUAGCAAACACAUGGAAUCAACCUCAAUGCCCACCAGCAGAAUGGAUAAAGUGGUGUGUGUGUGCGUGUGUGUGUGUAUACACACACACGCACACACACACCACACACACAUACCACACACACCACACACACAUACCACACACACCACACACACACACCACACACCACACCACACACCACACACACCUCACACACCACACACACACACCACACACACCACACACACACCACACACACACACCACACACCACACCACACACCACACACACACCACACACACACCACACACACACACCACACACACACACCACACACACACCACACACACCACACACACACACCACACACCACACCACACACCACACACACACACCACACACACACCACAGACACACACCACACACCACACACACACACCACACACACACCACACACACACACCACACACACACACCACACACACACCACACACACCACACACACACACCACACACCACACCACACACCACACACACACACCACACACACACCACAGACACACACCACACACCACACACACACACCACACACACAUACCACACACCACACACACCACACACACCUCACACACCACACACACACACCACACACCACACCACACACCACACACACACACCACACACACACACCACAGACACACACCACACACCACACACACACACCACACACACACACCACACACCACACCACACACCACAGACACACACCACACCACACACCACACACACACACCACACACACACACACCACACACCACACCACACACCACACACACACCACACACCACACACACACCACACACCACACACACACAGCACACACCACACACACCACACACACACCACACACCACACACACACACCACACACACAUACCACACACACCACACACACCACACACACACACCACACACCACACCACACACCACAGACACACACCACACACACACACCACACACACCACACACACACCACACACACACACCACACACACAUACCACACACACCACACACACCACACACACACACCACACACCACACCACACACCACACACACCACACACACACACCACACACACAUACCACACACACCACACACACCACACACACACACCACACACCACACACACACCACACACACACACACCACACACCACACCACACACCACACACACACCACACACCACACACACACACCACACACCACACACACCACACACACACCACACACCACACACACACACCACACACACAUACCACACACACCACACACACACACCACACACCACACCACACACCACAGACACACCACACACACACACCACACACACCACACACACACCACACACACACACCACACACCACACACACCACACACACACACCACACACACCACACACACACCACACACACACCACACACCACACCACACACCACACACACACCACACACCACACACACACACACAGCACACACCACACACACCACACACACACACCACACACCACACACACACACCACACACACAUACCACACACCACACACACCACACACACCUCACACACCACACACACACACACACCACACACCACACACAGACACACACACACACCACACACACACACAUACCAUGGAAUACCAUGCAGCUAUAAAAAGAAACAAAACCAUGUCCUUUGUAGGGACAUGGAUGGAGCUGGAGCCCAUUAUUCUCAGCAAAGUAACACAGGAACAGAAACCAGAUACCACAUGUUCUCACUUAUAA
rnacentral:lncRNA from 1 species